GAAGGAUCCAAAGUGGAGACUGGAAACUCUCAGGGUGGAGCCUGAUGGAGUCCGAUGGUUGACACCAGGUCUGAGGAAAUAUUCCUGUCAACUCACCAUCGACACAAACACAAUGAGCAGAUUACUGAAACUGUCUGAAGACAACAGGAAGUUGACGCGUGUGAAGAUGUUUCAGCCAUAUUCUGUUCAUCCAGACAGAUUUGAGUUUUAUCACAAUGUCCUGUGUGAAACUGGUCUGACUGGUCGCUGUUACUGGGAGGUUGAGUGGAGUGGAGCUGUUGAUAUAGCAGUGAGUUACAGAAGAAUCAGGAGGAAUGGAGGCAGUAGAGCCUGUGUGUUUGGAGAGAAUGAUCAUUCCUGGUGUCUGAUUUACACUGAUGAUGAAAGAUACUUUAUCAGGCACAAUAACAUACGAAUUCGUCUCCCCUCCUCCUGUUUCUCUCACAGAGUAGGUGUGUAUGUGGACUGUCCUGCUGGCAUUCUGUCCUUCUACAAAGUUUCCUCUGACUCUCUGACCCACAUCUACACCUAUAAAACCACAUUCACUGAACCUCUCUAUGCUGGGUUUGGGCUCUUUCUCCCUGGUUCUUCACUGGUUCUGAAGAACUAGAAUUUCUUGUAUCAGAGAAUUUCUCUCUGUUAAAGUUAAAGUCAAGUUUAUUGACAAGACAUUUCAAAGUUCUUUUCCCCAUAAUAACAUAAUACAGUUUUAAAUGAUGAAACAUUAAAUGUUGUCAGAUAUCAAAAUAAUGAAGCAAACAUGCAUCCAAUAUAUUGAUCAAUGUUACAAUUAUUAUGAAUCAAACACAACUUAAACAGGGUUUGUUACUCCUUUGUUUUGUUUGUAUUACAUGUCCAUCCACUAGGGGGCGCUGUUUCUCCUGGAGGCCUGGUUGCAUCCUGCAUGUUUUAUUCCCUCCCUGGUUUUAGUAACAACCUUUCAGCAGGUCAAAGUUCUUCUUUGGCCUCUAAUGAUCCAUCGUUGGAUCCAGGUGAGUUAAACCAGGGAGAGACUAGAACCUGCAGGAUGCCGGCCCUCAGGGGCCACUUUGGGCUCCACUGGUCUAAAUGAUGCUGGAAUGACCAGAUUAAGGCUCCAAGCAGGAACGAACCAUUUCAUGCAGAUCCAGGGAAGUUCAGUGAAAAUAUAGAUGUGCUUUUUGCUCUGGGAGGUAACAUUUAAUUUUUACUGCUAUAAACUAUUUUAGAAAACACAGUAUGAAUAAUUUUGCAAUUGACAGGGCCCCAAUUUUUUAAAAUUUCUAUAAAAAAAAGGCCUAUUUUGUGGGGCCCCGUCGGUCAGGGGCCCUUGGAAUUGUCCUAACUUCCCCCCCUAUACGCAGCCCUGAUUAUGGGCCUGAUCAGUAGUUUAUUGUGUCGACAGAUUAAAUUAGAGUAACUAAGAAUAAAAUAAUUUAAACCGUGAGUGAAAAUGAGCAGGAGAUUGUAAAAUCACAAACCUGAUGAGGCCGACCCGCGAGCCAAAGGUUUAAAAUGUGGAUUUGCUCUCAGUGUUGCUGCUUCAUGAUGUUCUUUAAUGUUUGUGGAUCCAAGAAGUUUCACAGGUUCUGCCCAGAAUGAGUUCAAGGAUUUUUGAGGCUCCAUCUGUACAUGGAGAAACUUUAUGAUGGAUUUUUACCUUGAUGAAGAAAACAUGGAUCAACCCAGGAAAGGUCUUUCCAUGUGAUCCGACCCUCUGUCUCUCUCUGACUCCUGGCAAAUUUAUUACAUUCAGAAAAUCACUCAGCCAGUUUUAGGGAAGGAUAAUUAUCUGUUCAACUUAUCUACUUCUGUCUAUUUGCUUGAUUUUAUUUUAUUUUAUGUUACUGUUUGCUGUAGCUGCUAAACUCUGCAGAUUAACAUCAACAUCUUGCUGGAAGUUGUGGAAAUGUAAUUUUUGAGAUUGUUCCCUGUAAGAUUUCUUCAUGGUUUUAAAUUGAUUGAUGUUCUCAACAAAAUUACCAGAAGUUUUGAUCAAUAAAGUUAAAAACCCAAAUUUUUGAAGUCUAUUUUUUCCAGUUUCUAAAACCAUUCAACCCAGUUCUAACUGUAUAAGAGGAGAAAAUGAGAUGCUGCCGUGUUUCAAAGCAGCACUUUCUGCAGCCUGCAGUGAUUUUAUGUUCUAGAGUUUACUCUCUGAGAGGCAGCAGCUCUUAGAAACAAAGAUCUGAUCUUUUCCACGACCUUUGGAGAGAUUCAGCUUUUGUUUUAGACCAGCUGCUAUGAAAUAAAUGCUUUUCUAGGAUAAUUUCACAUUUUCUGGCCUCAUUCUGGAUCUUCCUCCUCAGACAAUAAAUGUUUCCCCCAACAGAUUGAAGCCACUCUUCAUGCAGCCAUCUUGGUGUUUAUAUUUGCUGUCAUUUUAAAGUUAUUGUACAAAAUCAAUUCAGUCCAGAUUUUCUGCCAAAUAUAAAUGAGGCUCAGUUCUGCUAAUAUUCUAUUUAUGAACAAAAUCACUGUUUUGGAUUAGAGAUAAAAUAUCAACAAUUUCAAAUGUUGCUUUUUAUGAAAUUUUGUUUCA